GGAUGCAAAAGUCGUAACACGGUUUCCGUAGGUGAACCUGCGGAAGGAUCAUUCACACGUUCUGCUUCUCGCGGAGCUGGGGUUUUCUUUCAUCUCUGUCGCUUUUUGGGGCUGGAUGGAAGGAAGCGUCGGUGCCGACGGGAUUGGCAGCGACUGAACGAGUUUUGACCAAUCUUUGAAUCGAUUGUUAUUCUUCCACGACGUUAUUUUGUGAACAAGAGAUAUCGAAGAUAUUCAGCCUGUAUUUCAAUGUGGAUAUGCAGGAAUGUGGGGUUUUAUGCUUUGGGGGGUUGUCGGCAGCGGUUUGGGGCUGCAUGCGUUGUCGGCAGCGGUUCGGGGCUGCAUGCGUGAUCGGCAGCGGUGUGGGGCCGCCUUGCCGGGUCGGCAGCGGUCUGGGGCUGCCUUGCAUGGUCGGCAGUGGUCUGGGGCUGCCAUGCGUGCGUGCAUGCGUGCGGCUGCAGCCCCAUGCCCUGCACACCAUGGUGUGUUAUUACCGGCAUUCCGAUUCUCUCCUGCAUUUUUUUCUCACUGUUUUUUUGUUUGUUUAAAGAAAAAAACUUUCAGCAAUGGAUGUCUUGGCUCACGCAUCGAUGAAGGACGCAGCUAGAUGCGAUACGCAUUGUGAAUUGCAGAUUUUAGUGAACCAUCAGAUUUCUGAACGCAUAUGGCGCUUCUGGGAUUUUCCCCGUAGCACGUCUGUUUCAGUGUCUCUUGACCCCUUCAAAAAAUACACUGCCAUAAAAGCAUCAAACAAGGGCUUAUGUGUCUAGGAUUUUUUGGUUUUAUGGUGGUAUCGUUUGCGUGUCGCAGCAAAAUACGUUUGCAUGCGUCAUGUGAAGUUGUUUGUGGAUAUACUAUUAUUCACGUAUAAAAGCGGCACAUCGCUUAACUCUAUCCUUUCGUUUACGAAAGAGAUACGGUGGUGUGUAACAACUCCUUUGGGGUUGUGUAUGCUACUAUCUCGAACAAAAGUGAACGGAGGGCGGCAGGUUUUCCUGUUGUGAGUUGUGUGUGUUUUGCUUUUUAUGUGGGUAGUAUUUGUAUAUCCUGAUCCUUCCAUCAAUCGAGACGAGUGAUGAUGGUUUUGGAUAAAUAUUUAUUUGUUUUAGACCUGAAAUCAGUCGAGAUUACCCGCUGAAUUUAAGCAUAUUAUUAAGCGGAGGA
rnacentral:sRNA from 1 species